rnacentral:rRNA from 1 species
CCUACGGGUGGCAGCAGUCGAGAAUCAUUCACAAUGGGGGAAACCCUGAUGGAGCGAAGCCGCGUGGGGGAAUGAAGGUCUACGGAUUGUAAACCCCUGUCAUGGGGGAGCAAAUUAAAAAGAUAGUACCACAAGAGGAAGAGACGGCUAAAUCUGUGCCAGCAGCCGCGGUAAUACAGAGGUCUCAAGCGGUGUUCGGAAUCACUGGGCGUAAAGCGUGCGGAGGCUGGGGCGUAAGUCGUGUGUGAAAGGCGAGGGCUCAACCCGCGGACGGCACAUGAUACUGCGAGACUAGAGUAAGGGAGGGGGAACCGGAAUUCGCGGUGUAGCAGUGAAAUGCGUAGAUAUCGCGAGGAACACUCGUGGCGAAGGCGGGUUCCUGGACCUUAACUGACGCUGAGGCACGAAGGCCAGGGGAGCGAAAAGGAUUAGAUACCCUGGUAGUC